GGAAGAAGAACCAACCUCCUUGGAGGCAAAGUAUGGAUCUUAUUAUAUCCAAAAGGAAAACAAAUAAAGGAAUCGGAUUGAAUCUGAAAAAGAAAAGCAAAUGCAAAGAAGAAGAAGAACAAACCUCUUCGGAGGCAAAGGAAAAUCGGAUUGAUCCGACAAAGAAAAAAAAAUGCAAACAAGAAAAAUGCAUAUGGAUCCCUACAGGGGCAAAGAGCACCACCACCGAUCCAUUCGACGGCGGCGCGCUCACCGCAAGGGG
rnacentral:lncRNA from 1 species